AGUAGAGAAGCCUCAGUCCUGGAAGGAGGAGCAGGAGACAGCACACGGAGGCCAGCUCAGCAAGAGCCAACGGCUGCCAGCAGCAUCUCCUACUGAGGAAGCAGCAAUCUAGGUUUGCUACAUAGAAUUAUAAGACAGAGAUGAUGUUAUAUUUAUAAUUCCACAUCUGGUUUUUUUGAUGUAAUGUCUUAACAUAAACAUUCCAACUUGGAUAUAAACAGUUGAAGGCAACUGGCAUGAAGGCUCCACCCCCUGGAUCUCUGAACAGAACCGAGAGCCUCCCCCGCUUGCACAUCAGAAGCCGCCAGUGCCCGGAGUGGACCUUGACCAGACCGAGGCCUUUC